AUUGAACGCUGGCGGCAGGCUUAACACAUGCAAGUCGAGCGGGGGAGGUUGCUUCGGUAACUGACCUAGCGGCGGACGGGUGAGUAAUGCUUAGGAAUCUGCCUAUUAGUGGGGGACAACAUCUCGAAAGGGAUGCUAAUACCGCAUACGUCCUACGGGAGAAAGCAGGGGACCUUCGGGCCUUGCGCUAAUAGAUGAGCCUAAGUCGGAUUAGCUAGUUGGUGGGGUAAAGGCCUACCAAGGCGACGAUCUGUAGCGGGUCUGAGAGGAUGAUCCGCCACACUGGGACUGAGACACGGCCCAGACUCCUACGGGAGGCAGCAGUGGGGAAUAUUGGACAAUGGGGGGAACCCUGAUCCAGCCAUGCCGCGUGUGUGAAGAAGGCCUUUUGGUUGUAAAGCACUUUAAGCGAGGAGGAGGCUACUGGUAUUAAUACUACCGGAUAGUGGACGUUACUCGCAGAAUAAGCACCGGCUAACUCUGUGCCAGCAGCCGCGGUAAUACAGAGGGUGCGAGCGUUAAUCGGAUUUACUGGGCGUAAAGCGUGCGUAGGCGGCUUUUUAAGUCGGAUGUGAAAUCCCUGAGCUUAACUUAGGAAUUGCAUUCGAUACUGGGAGGCUAGAGUAUGGGAGAGGAUGGUAGAAUUCCAGGUGUAGCGGUGAAAUGCGUAGAGAUCUGGAGGAAUACCGAUGGCGAAGGCAGCCAUCUGGCCUAAUACUGACGCUGAGGUACGAAAGCAUGGGGAGCAAACAGGAUUAGAUACCCUGGUAGUCCACGCCCUAAACGAUGUCUACUAGUUGUUGGGGU
rnacentral:rRNA from 1 species